rnacentral:rRNA from 1 species
UACGUAGGGGGCUAGCGUUGUCCGGAUUUAUUGGGCGUAAAGAGCGUGUAGGCGGCCAGGCAGGUCUGCUGUGAAAACUCGAGGCUCAACCUCGAGACGUCGGCGGAAACCAUCUGGCUAGAGUCCGGAAGAGGAGAGUGGAAUUCCUGGUGUAGCGGUGAAAUGCGCAGAUAUCAGGAAGAACACCCGUGGCGAAGGCGGCUCUCUGGGACGGUACUGACGCUGAGGCGCGAAAGCUAGGGGAGCAAACGGG